UGUGUAUACAUGAAUAUAUACAGGGACCGGAGGCAACAGGCUCUUUUUACUUAGCAAUUUUACUUAGCUGUGCUUCUAGUAAGUACUCUUCCAAUGACAGCAUGAGUAAUAUAUCCAUCUCAAACACUCUCCACUCUAUUUCUGAAAGUCCUACCCAGUAACAAGAACGGCACAACACCAUUGACACGACUCUCUUUCCCAGCCUUGCUCUUUCGCAUAAUAAUCCAGGUACACAAGACAUUGCUGAAUUUAUUUUUAAUCAAGAGGGUUCAGAAACGUAGCUGAGUUAGCAACUCUUUUUGGUCUGGCUGCAACCACAAACAGUAAGUCCAUCAUGCAUGCAUGCUAGGACAACCGCAACCUCCGAUAUUUACUGCCAUGCUGCAGUUGUUGAAGAGACAUCAAGGCGCGCUGGGUGAAAGUAUGGACUUCGCACUUGUGCAAACAACCCAGCACCGAGUGUGAGAUCAUUUAAGCCAGUGAGAGUGGGUGAGUGUGAUGGAGGGAAGUGGAAAACGGAGAAAGAGACGGAGUGACCAUCGGAGACAUGGGAGAAAGUGGCAAAGUUCAACCGUGAACAUAAAGGCAAGAGAAGAAGAGUCCAUGCUGUUUCAGUGUCCUAGAACAGCAGGGACAGGCGAGAUCAUCAGAGGUCAAAGCUUGUCCAGCUGCUCUGGACGGAUAAACACACCUGAGGGAACCGGACUGCUCCAAACACCAUCAACACCAUCAUCACGGCUCCUGCUGAGCACAAACAGGAGGGGGGAAGGAGAGAGAGAGAGAGAGAGAGAGAGAGAGAGAGAGAGAGAGAGCAUCAAUAUGCAGACGAUGUAUUAUUAAUGCUAGCAUUAAUGGUAAAAAAAAGAAAAAUAAAAUAACAUCUAUGAAUAUCUUAAUGUUUUUAGAAAUCGGUGCUGGUUUUGAAAAUGUAUUAAUAAAAACUUAAAAAUCCUUCAAAACUCCUGUCAGGUUAGCUAAUGUUAGCUACUUGGCUAACGCUAACGUGGCAUGUUAGCUAGCUGGUUAGUUUUAACAGUGGCGUUUCAUGAAUAAGACUUUAAAGUACUUAAAAUUCAAGAAAUCCUGUCAGGUUAGCACAUGCUAAUAAUGUGGCC
ensembl:lncRNA